GGGAAUUUCAGUAGAUUUCACUGAGACGUGACUUUUAAUCACGGUGUCGAUGGUUCGAUCCCAUCGCGGCCCACCA
rnacentral:tRNA from 1 species